rnacentral:tRNA from 1 species
GUGGGUAUAGCUCAGUAGCAGAGCGCAUACUUAGCAUGCAUGAGGACCUGAGUUCAAUCCCCAGUAUCUCCA